GAAAGUUUUUUCGGUAAAGGAUCGGCCUGUAUGGUAUCAGCUUGUUGGUGAGGUAAUGGCUCACCAAGGCUAUGACACCUAACUGGUUUGAGAGGAUGAUCAGUCACACUGGAACUGAGACACGGUCCAGACUCCUACGGGAGGCAGCAGUGGGGAAUAUUGCACAAUGGACGAAAGUCUGAUGCAGCAACGCCGCGCGGAGGAUGACACAUUUCGGUGCGUAAACUCCUUUUAUAUAGGAAGAUAAUGACGGUACUAUAUGAAUAAGCACCGGCUAACUCCGUGCCAGCAGCCGCGGUAAUACGGAGGGUGCAAGCGUUACUCGGAAUUACUGGGCGUAAAGAGCGUGUAGGCGGGUUUGUAAGUUGGAUGUGAAAUCCUAUGGCUCAACCAUAGAACUGCAUCCAAAACUGCUUACCUAGAAUAUGGGAGAGGUAGAUGGAAUUUCUGGUGUAGGGGUAAAAUCCGUAGAGAUCAGAAGGAAUACCGAUUGCGAAGGCGAUCUACUGGAACAUUAUUGACGCUGAGACGCGAAAGCGUGGGGAGCAAACAGGAUUAGAUACCCUGGUAGUCCACGCCCUAAACGAUGUUCACUAGUUGUUGUGAGGCUAGACCUUGCAGUAAUGCAGUUAACACAUUAAGUGUACCGCCUGGGGAGUACGGUCGCAAGAUUAAAACUCAAAGGAAUAGACGGGGACCCGCACAAGCGGUGGAGCAUGUGGUUUAAUUCGACGAUACGCGAAGAACCUUACCUGGUCUUGACAUAGUAAGAAGAUUUCAGAGAUGAGAUUGUGUCUGCUUGCAGAAGCUUAUAUACAGGUGCUGCACGGCUGUCGUCAGCUCGUGUCGUGAGAUGUUGGGUUAAGUCCCGCAACGAGCGCAACCCUCGUCGUUAGUUGCUAACAGUUCGGCUGAGAACUCUAACGAGACUGCCUACGCAAG
rnacentral:rRNA from 1 species